rnacentral:lncRNA from 1 species
AUGAUCUAUAUAUAUAUAUAUAUAUAUAUAUAUAUAUCCAAAUGUUGUGUACAUAUUUCUAAGUGUGCAAAAAUGUUACCCAAAGCUUAUCUUCCUGUUCUAAUUCUCCUCAUCUUCUGUACCGCCACGCACGGCCGCGUUAUCAGCGACCAGCCAUCAUCGGAUCUCGUCUCCGACGGAGUUCGCGGCGUUGACAGUGGUCGUGAAAAAGGAAUAAUCUCACUUUUUGCUGAAACAGAGGAGGCAUGUGAACAGAGCUAUGGUUUUUUGCCUUGCACUAAAACUGCUCUAGGAAAUGUUUUCCUCAUCGUCGUGUAUGGUUACCUUAUGUUUCUGGCUGCUACUUAUCUCUCCUCCGGUAGUGAACUGUUGCUCGAGAUUUUAGGGCCAGGUCUUAUUGGUGGACUCUUCCUUCCUGCGCUUGGUGCUCUUCCUGAUGCUAUGCUCAUUCUCGGUAUAAUAAUCGUCCUUUCUUUCACUCUGUUUAUUUUACCAGUUACUCCCUAUAUGUGAUUGUGUAAUGUGUUUGACUGGGAAAUGAAUUUUUUGAGUUAAAACUAGUCAUACAUAUUUGUGUGGCUCUAAAUUGAAAUUUAAAAUUUUAAAGUUAACUUAUUUUUAAAUAUAAAAAUUUGUUAUUUUUUCUUGUAAAGACUAAAAAGUAAAUACCAUCUCAUAAACUGAGACAGAGUAUAAUUUUAUAUUUCCGGAAAGAAUGACGUAAUUAUUAAAAUUUGGUAGGAAUUCAGGCAUCGUUUCUUAUUGUUUUGAAAUUAAACUUAAACAUAUCUGACGACUAAAAGAAAUAUUACAGAUCAUAAUAAUUAAUAAUUAAAAGUUAAUUAAUUUCUUUUUUGAAUAAUUGAAAUCAUUUUAGCCAAGUAAUUUGUGACAGAAGGAGUAUUAGUAUGGGAUAUUGGAGCGAUUGAAAAUUGCAUCAGAAGGGAACAGAGAUCCGACAAUUUCGUUUGUCUUGUUUUAUUUUGUUUAAUCUUUUUGGAUUUAAGUUAUGUUCAUUGAUGAUGUACAAUGCAUAGACACUUGUAGGACUUAUAGUUAACUUAAAUUGGUCUUCCAUUUGACCCUUUUCGUCAUGCUUUGGACAUCUCACCAGGAUCUUAGGUACCCAGCAAACGUAUUCUUCAAAGAAUGAAAUCCAUUUUUUUACAAACCUAACCUCAAUACUAAAAAUAAAUUAGGCAGCUAUGUGAAUCCUCUGUAUUUUUUUUUUAUUUGGUUUAACUGAAUAUUUAUUAUAUAAAAAACUAAACAUCAUUACAUGAAACAUUCAUGGUUGUCCCAUUGGGAUUAACUUUCACUCUAUUCAAUCCCAUUUCAUAUGAUACUGAAUAAUUUGUCUUUUACAAGUAAACUAGGGGUUCUAUAAAAUUAUAUAUUCUCUAUCAUUUAUGACGGUGGCGUCCGGGUCAGCUUGUGCGCACUUCGACUAGCUAUUGCUGAAUCUCCUAGUGCUUGGGAUUUGAACCUAUCAUAUUAACAUAUAAGUCUGUAAUUAGACAUGGCCAACACAGGACCUACUGUUAAUGUAUAAGAACUAAAUUUUUAUCAGAAUAUCGCCGAUAUGGAUCAUUUGUUAUGUUCUUAGCCAAGUUUGUGUUUUGCGAAAAAAGAACUUAGUUUGUUAUUAUAUCAUUAAAAGCGCUUGUUGCAAGUCAUAUUAAGCCUCACAAGUUUCUUCUUUUCACCUCAUUGUUUCAGUAUCGGGAGUAUCUGGAACUGCUGCGGCUGCUCAGAGCCAGGUUUCUGUAGGAAUAGGCUUGUUAGCUGGGUCAACAGUGAUGCUUCUUACCGCGAUAUGGGGAACCUGUUGCAUUGUUGGCAAGUGCGACAUACAAAAUUCUGUUGCUGUGGACUUGAGAGACACUAAAGGGCUCAGCUNN